rnacentral:rRNA from 1 species
UCGGACUGUAGGCUGCAACUCGCCUACACGAAGUCGGAAUCGCUAGUACUCGCGGAUCAGCAUGCCGCGGUGAAUACGUUCCCGGGCCUUGUACACACCGCCCGUCACACCAUGGAAGUUUGCAAUGCCCAAAGUCGGUGGCCUAACCAUUUGGAGGGAACCGCCUAAGGACAGGGCAGAUGACUGGGGUGAAGUCGUAACAAGGUAGC